CUACGGGAGGCACCAGUGAGGAAUAUUGCACAAUGGAGGAAACUCUGAUGCAGCAACGCCGCGUGGAGGAUGACGCAUUUCGGUGUGUAAACUCCUUUUAUAUGUCAAGAAAAUGACGGUAGCAUAUGAAUAAGCACCGGCUAACUCCGUGCCAGCAGCCGCGGUAAUACGGAGGGUGCAAGCGUUACUCGGAAUCACUGGGCGUAAAGGACGCGUAGGCGGGAUAUCAAGUCAGGUGUGAAAUCCUACAGCUUAACCGUAGAACUGCACUUGAAACUGGUAACCUAGAGUAUGGGAGGGGGAGAUGGAAUUAGUGGUGUAGGGGUAAAAUCCGUAGAUAUCACUAGGAAUACCUAAGGCGAAGGCGAUCUCCUGGAACAUAACUGACGCUAAGGCGUGAAAGCGUGGGGAGCAAACAGGAUUAGAUACCCUUGUAGUC
rnacentral:rRNA from 1 species